GAUGAACGCUGGCGGCGUGCCUAAUACAUGCAAGUCGAGCGAACAGACGAGGAGCUUGCUCCUCUGACGUUAGCGGCGGACGGGUGAGUAACACGUGGAUAACCUACCUAUAAGACUGGGAUAACUUCGGGAAACCGGAGCUAAUACCGGAUAAUAUAUUGAACCGCAUGGUUCAAUAGUGAAAGACGGUUUUGCUGUCACUUAUAGAUGGAUCCGCGCCGCAUUAGCUAGUUGGUAAGGUAACGGCUUACCAAGGCAACGAUGCGUAGCCGACCUGAGAGGGUGAUCGGCCACACUGGAACUGAGACACGGUCCAGACUCCUACGGGAGGCAGCAGUAGGGAAUCUUCCGCAAUGGGCGAAAGCCUGACGGAGCAACGCCGCGUGAGUGAUGAAGGCCUUCGGAUCGUAAAACUCUGUUAUUAGGGAAGAACAAAUGUGUAAGUAACUAUGCACGUCUUGACGGAACCUAAUCAGAAAGCCACGGCUAACUACGUG
rnacentral:rRNA from 1 species